rnacentral:tRNA from 1 species
GCCGAGAUGGUGGAAUUGGCAGACACACUAGCCUUAGAAGCUAGCGCCGUAAGGCAUUAAGGGUUCGAGUCCCUUUCUCGGCA